CUGCAUGGCUGUCGUCAGCUCGUGUCGUGAGAUGUUGGUUAAGUCCGCAACGAGCGCAACCCUCGCCUUUAGUUGCCAGCAUUCAGUUGGGCACUCUAGAGGGACUGCCGGUGUCAAACCGGAGGAAGGUGGGGAUGACGUCAAGUCCUCAUGGCCUUUAUGUCUAGGGCUACACACGUACUACAAUGGCCGGUACAAAGGGCAGCCACUCAGCGAUGAGGCGCUAAUCCCAUAAAGCCGGUCUCAGUCCGGAUCGCAGUCUGCAACUCGACUGCGUGAAGUUGGAAUCGCUAGUAAUCGUAGAUCAGCUACGCCGCGGUGAAUACGUUCUCGGGCCUU
rnacentral:rRNA from 1 species